CACACAUCCAGGACAGUCCUGAGGUGGGGGCCUCCUGAUUCCCCACCUUCCUGCCCUGGGUCCUUGCUGAUGGGUUGGCCAUCCCUGGCUCUCUGGCCCAUUGUGUGCGGCCCGUUGAGUCAGUCUGUAAAGUCAUUCUCUGUGUUAUCCCCUGUCCCUUUAAAAUCAUCACAACCGCCGCUGAGAGUCUGCUAAGGACUAAACGUUUGUUUUCCCGACCAAAACUCUUGGGUCGAAAACCAACCUCAGAGUUCCCGCCAUGGUGCAGUGGAUGGGGUCGCUGUGGAGGUGCAGGUUCGAUCCCUGGCCUUGCUCAGUGGGUUAAGGACCCGGCGUUGCCGUGAGCUGCGGUCCCUCUCUCCCCAUCGCCGCUUGCGCCUCCCCUCCCCCCUUCCCCCCAGUAUCGCAGUGCGUGGUCCUGUACCACUUGGGGCCCCUACUUCUCUCUCCUCGUUCCUUUGGCAGGUCCUCGAACGCAGGUGCUGUGUGUUGGUCGCACCUCCUACGAAGAGCUCAUCUGGGCUUGCCGAGUAAAAGCCUGGGCCGCACCCGCCUCACAGCAGCACUUCUGGCCAUAGUUGUUAGCAAACAGCUAGCAUCCCAGGCUUUGCAUGGCGAGGAGCUCAAUAUGAGAACUGGACUGCAGGAGCCUCUGUCCUUCCCGUUCCCAGUGCAAAGCCGCCCCCCACCCUCGUGUCAGGGCCAGGGUGGAACUAACUAUGCAGCUGGGAUGUCACUUCCUGCCUUCCGUUCAGCCUGUCACUUACACUGGCACAUCCAGGGCUGGUUCAAGCUGGCCAGGCCCCUCCCUUAAACCUAGCUGCUGGUUGGUUUUACAAGGUUGUGGACCCACACACAACCCCACCCCAUCAGGCACCACCCAGGACCUUGUCGUGAGUGUGACUCUUUGUCCUGAGGGCAGGUUCUAGGCCUCCCUCAGGACAAAGCCCUUAAUUGAGGCUGGAAUCUAUAUCCGCUGAAAAGCUGUAAAAACAUGCUGGUGCUAUUUCUGGAGCGAAACAACUGUCUUAAGAUCCAGGGGAGGUGAGGAAGCUGCCGGGAUUUUCAGGAGAGGUAAGUGGGGAUGAGACAGAGGGGACUUCCUAGAGCUGCUACUGGACAGUCCCUUCCAGGGGAAAUCGCCUCUAUUGGGCUUCAAAAGGACCUGAAAGCUGGCGAUAAAGGCCCAGGGGUUGACGGGGGCAAAGGGUGUGAAGAGGAGAGAGAAGGCUGAGCGGCCCCAGCUUGGCCGGCUCCUGGGCCCUAGAGCCGCCUUUGGCGCCUCACUCGGCAUCAGCUUCCGGCUAUGGAAGGAAACCCGCCCUGGUGAGCAGGUGG
rnacentral:lncRNA from 1 species